CUGGAGCCGCUCACGUCCCCUUAUCACUUUUCCAGCCAGCUUUCUUGUCAUAACCGUUGGACGGAGAACUGAUAAGGGUUUGUGGGUGAGACCUG
rnacentral:pre_miRNA from 1 species